rnacentral:rRNA from 1 species
AUUGAACGCUGGCGGCAUGCCUACACAUGCAAGUCGAACGGCAGCACGGGAGCAAUCCUGGUGGCGAGUGGCGAACGGGUGAGUAAAGUAUCGGAACGUGCCCAGUCGUGGGGGAUAACGUAGCGAAAGUUACGCUAAUACCGCAUACGAUCUAUGGAUGAAAGCGGGGGAUCGCAAGACCUCGCGCGAUUGGAGCGGCCGAUAUCAGAUUAGGUAGUUGGUGGGGUAAAGGCUCACCAAGCCGACGAUCUGUAGCUGGUCUGAGAGGACGACCAGCCACACUGGGACUGAGACACGGCCCAGACUCCUACGGGAGGCAGCAGUGGGGAAUUUUGGACAAUGGGCGAAAGCCUGAUCCAGCCAUGCCGCGUGCGGGAUGAAGGCCUUCGGGUUGUAAACUGCUUUUGUACGGAACGAAAAGGUUUGGGCUAAUAAGCUGAGCUCAUGACGGUACCGUAAGAAUAAGCACCGGCUAACUACGUGCCAGCAGCCGCCGCCG